rnacentral:rRNA from 1 species
UGGGGAAUUUUGGACAAUGGGCGCAAGCCUGAUCCAGCCAUGCCGCGUGCAGGAUGAAGGCCUUCGGGUUGUAAACUGCUUUUGUACGGAACGAAACGGCCUUUUCUAAUAAAGAGGGCUAAUGACGGUACCGUAAGAAUAAGCACCGGCUAACUACGUGCCAGCAGCCGCGGUAAUACGUAGGGUGCAAGCGUUAAUCGGAAUUACUGGGCGUAAAGCGUGCGCAGGCGGUUAUGUAAGACAGUUGUGAAAUCCCCGGGCUCAACCUGGGAACUGCAUCUGUGACUGCAUAGCUAGAGUACGGUAGAGGGGGAUGGAAUUCCGCGUGUAGCAGUGAAAUGCGUAGAUAUGCGGAGGAACACCGAUGGCGAAGGCAAUCCCCUGGACCUGUACUGACGCUCAUGCACGAAAGCGUGGGGAGCAAACA